rnacentral:rRNA from 1 species
UACAGGGGGGGCAAGCGUUGUUCGGAAUUACUGGGCGUAAAGGGUCUGUAGGUGGCUUGCUAAGUCAGACGUGAAAUCCCUCAGCUUAACUGGGGAACUGCGUCUGAUACUGGCGAGCUUGAGUGCAGGAGAGGAACGCGGAAUUCCAGGUGUAGCGGUGAAAUGCGUAGAUAUCUGGAGGAACACCGGUGGCGAAGGCGGCGUUCUGGACUGCAACUGACACUGAGGAGCGAAAGCGUGGGGAGCGAACAGG